AAAGCAAGCCUUCACGGAAAUGGCGAUGACCUUUGAGAUAAAACCACAACGGAGGAAGCUAUCAUAGCAUGUUAGCUGUGUGUCACCAUCCAGUUCAUUUGGCCUUCCACUCUACAAAUACAAACUCAAACGGAGGAAUGGUUUUGCAGAGUGAUUUGAGAACGAGGAAAUAACAAGAUGGAAGCAUCGGUGGACUUUUAUCAACAGAAAUGGACCAGAUAUGAUUAUUCACAAGAGACCAACAUCAUGGUGUGGGCCCUUAGGAGUGUCGCUUCCAGCCACACAGCAAACUACCCCGUCCCCGACAAACAACAAGUGAACCAGAGAUCUCCCCCUGUCCCAAUGCACUAGACACUUACAGCUCCAACACUGGGCAAAGAACCCCACUGCAGCAAGAAAACUGAUGAACAAUGCCAGAGGACACCAAUGGGGAUCCUCGUUGUUAACCCAGAGGCUUGUGAUUGAGGUCUGGCACAGGCAUAGUAAGCUCCGACAGGAAGUCUCAUAAAUGCAACCAUUAAAGCUCAACUGAUUAAUUCAUCAUGUUCAUUUUCAUGGUGGAUGUUGUGAAGCCUAGAAAUAAACACUCUGAAAUCAUAAAGACGUCAAAGUGCCAAGAGUCAUGAGGGCUUCUACGGCAUAUUUUUAGUAUUACAUUUGACCUAAAACCUAAAUAUGCUAAAGGAUAAAAAGAGACUAUUUUUUCCCUUCACCUUUUGCUUUAUCGUAUCUGCCUUGUUGAUAGAAAUGUCUCUGUUUUCCUGGCAGGAUAGAAGAGGAAAGGGAAUGUAGUUAAUAUCCUCCUUUCUUAAGCCUUUUGUAAAACCAAGUAUGGUGGUGCUUUGGUUUGUCUGAUCCUCUCUGUCGGAAAUAUAGUUUGAGGAUAUUCUUCUCCAUCUGCCUUGAAAAGUUUCAACCACAGCAAGUGUGCAUUCAAUUUAUUUCUGUGUGCCCUGAUUCACCACAAAUUGCUUAAUGGUUUGAAUCUCACUCCUGACAGCACCAUUAGAGACUUGAACAGAGAUAAUUUCCAGUGAGAGCCAUUAGAGAUGUUUUGUUCUUUUAUGCAUUUAUUUUUUUACUGAAAAGAAUUGCAAUGGGGUCACCAUAUAAAUGCACUUUGGUAGACUAGAGUAAAAGAGAAAAUGCAAUACUACUUAAUAA